rnacentral:lncRNA from 1 species
UUCCAUAGUGCCUGAUUUCUCUGUAAACCAAAAAUGUCUCCCUCUAUUAUGAUAUCUCCAUUCUUGUUAUCAUGUAUUCUUCCCCUGACUCAUACUUCUGCAGUACCAGCUCUACUCAACAGGCAGAAAUGAGGGGACCAACUGAGUAUUCAAGUUUAUGUACAUCCAAAACAAAAAUUCUUAAACUCCAGUAAAAAUGACUAAGUUGGCUAUGUAGUACAAGACUUCUUGAUUAUUAUACACUGAAAGAAUGGACAACUGAUAGACUGAAUAUUCUCUGAAUUUCUCACUAAGCAAGUUGUGCAUCAAGUUCUUAAUCUGUAGAACAGAAAAUGGUCUGAAUAAGAACCUAAAGAUGUAGAUGUUAUACAAGGUUCUAAUGAAAAUUAGAAGACCAAUUACUCAUAAAUUUGUUUUCUGUAAAAUAAGGCCAAGCUGAUCAAACUCUGAGUUGCUACAAGUGAAAGUGUUAUAAUGACAACUGACAUGUACUCUGAACACACUCCACAGGAUUUUGGAUGAAUCAUUUACUCAAGUGUUUACCCACCCACAAGGAAAUAAGACAAUAUACAGCACACAAAAAACUUGCACAAAAGGAGGAAGUCAACUGUCUAUGAACUGUGGUCUUUGGAUGACUAGUCCAGAUCAUAAAGGGACAUAUGUAAUACCUUUUUACAAUGCCUUCCAGCAGAAGUGGCCUGUAUCUCAAGAGAAGGACUUUGAUUACUAGAAGGAUUUACUGCCACAAAGCUUUCUGUGAUUCCUGGGGUUAAUUAAGGAACUGUGCAUUAGUGGAUUAUCUGAUUCGCCAUUGACA